GUCAAUGAGAACUUCCUCCCUCUGCUCAAACGCCUUGAUGACUGCAUAGUGUAUGUAGAAAACAAUCCACAGUAUGCUGAAUCCGGCGUUUACUUACUCAAAUUUCGACAACUGCAGUCUCGAGCAUUGGGUAUGAUUCGCUCUCAUGUACUUUCUGUACUCAAAAGUGCGUCUUCUCAGGUAAAAUAAUGUAGGGGUUGAAUUAAUGCGCUCCAUUGUUUUGUGUUGUUUUGUUGGGUUGGUAGACCUCUGUUUCUGUCUCCUUUUGGUCUUAAAUCAAGUGCUCUGUUUGUUACCUAAAAAAGAGAACGUUCUGGUUCUAUAUGGUUAUUGUUUCUUCAUCAGGUUCAAUCAGCAAUUCGGAGCAAUAGUAGCAGCAAGGCAUCUCUUGCUGAGGGUGUAGAGGCAUCUGUUAUAUUGGCCAGGCUUUCAGAAAUGGGAACAAGCUUCCUUUUGCUGCUGCUCAAAUUGGCCAGGCUUUCAGAAAUAAGGUUCUUGGAUAUAUUUUUCAUCAGUCACAUAUGUAUCUUUUCAGUCAU